UCUGAUACAAUAAUGGAAAUAUGGAAUUUUCCGGCGUGUUCCUUCUUCUCCGACCACCAUACACAUACAAUUAUGCCCUCGUUGCUUUCAGGUCGGAUACUCCAUUUUCCCAAGCUCUCUGCAACUUCUUCUUCUGAAUCAUAUUCCAGUAAACAAGUGAAAUUUCCAAAGAAAAUCAGCCAAAAUUCUGCAACUUCUGUUCGCCCUGCAGAUUCUGGCAGUCCCCUAAGGAAAACCCACAAGUUGAAUUUGGAAGUUUCUCCUCAUAGAGCUGUGUCUGCGGUUAGAUUGAUGCGUAUAGAGUUUGGUGGUGCAUUUGCUGAUCUUCUGAACGAGCAAGGGAAGGGUUCAGGGGAUAAUGAAAUGGGAUAUGUUGAAAGAACUCUUGGGUUUCGUACUCGUGACUUAGACGACAGAGAUUUAAGACUGGUCACGGAGGUUGUUGGAGGCACCAUUCGCUGGAGAAGAUAUCUUGAUCACUUGAUUCUUUCAUUAUGCCACGAUGAGCGGACAUUCAGAAGCAUGGAACCUCUUCUAGUACAGAUUCUUCGAAUUGGUUUCUAUGAGAUCACCAAGUUAGACAUGCCACCUUAUGCUGUUGUAGAUGAGAGUGUAAGGCUCGCAAAAGUUGCUCUUAGACCAGGUGCCGGUAACUUGGUUAAUGGGAUUCUCAGGAAACUAGCAGUCCUUAAGGAGAGUGAUUCCCUUCCGGCAGUGGAAGUGGAUGGUGAUGAUCGUCAGCAAGCACGUGGUCUUGCCACUCUUUACUCUCAUCCAGUUUGGAUGGUAAGAAGAUGGACAAAGUAUUUUGGACAGGACACAGCUAUUAAGCUUAUGACAUGGAAUAACAGCUAUCCCAGUUUUAGUCUAAGGGCAAAUACUGGGAAAGGUUUGACAGGGGCUGAUCUCGUCUCAAGGCUUAAAAUGUUGAAGGUCCCACAUGAGCCUUCUCUAUACUUGGAUGAUUUUGUACGUCUAAAAACUGGAAUGCAGAAUGUUAUACAGGCUGGAUUACUAAAAGAAGGCUUCUGUGCAGUCCAGGAUGAAAGUGCCGGAUUAGUAGUCUCUAUUGUUGAUCCACAACCUGGUGAGAACAUUAUUGAUUGUUGUGCUGCUCCAGGAGGGAAAACCUUGUUCAUGGCAUCCCGUUUGAAUGGCCAAGGUAAAUUAUUUGCUGUUGACAUAAAUGAAGGUCGAUUGCGGAUACUCAGAGAGACAGCCAAGUUGCACCAAGUUAUUGAUGUUAUCAGUACUAUCCAUUCUGAUCUUCGAACUUUUUCUACGGAUAAAGUCGUAGAAUGGGAUAAAGUUUUACUGGAUGCACCUUGUUCAGGACUUGGUGUUCUUUCAAAGAAAGCGAGCAGAUUUGCGUUGGAAUAGGAGACUGGAAGACAUGGAGCAACUUAAACAUUUACAGGAUGAGCUUCUCGAUUCAGCUUCCAGGUUGGUGAAGCCAGGUGGAGUGCUAAUAUACAGCACAUGUUCCAUUGACCCUGAAGAGAAUGAGGAAAGAAUUGAAGCUUUUCUCUUGAGGCAUCCAGAAUUUUACAUUGAUCCUGUGAACAAAUAUGUACCUGAGAAUUUUGUUACUAACCGAGGUUUCUAUAUGUCUAAUCCUGUGAAGCAUGAACUUGAUGGAGCCUUUGCAGCUCGCCUGGUUAGGUCUCAAUAAAUCGAGAAUGAGGAGCAUGUUCCA